GGGAGACACUGCAGCCACCGCCAGGACAAGCAGCAUGUAAGGACUCUGAAGAUUCCAUGAACAACUUCAAAACAGCCCAUCAAUAGUGACUGUCUUUAGCUCAUCUGACCAAGCCCUGAGAACCACAAACUACUCAAGACCUGGGCAGCCACCACCACUACAAUGCGCCCCACUGUCUGCCAGAGUGCCUGCUGAGCUCUCCAGCCCCGCCCCAAGUAGUGUCAAAGCAGACCUGCCAGCUGCAGUGGUGGAGCCCAGCCCCCAAAGCCCUCUGCAUACACGGCCUUGUAGCACCACCACCCUGCCAGGGCUGCACCAGCAGCCCAAUCGAGACUCCAGAGCAGGACUUGGGGACAUCAGCGCGCAGGGACAAGUAGAGCAGCUACCCAUUAGCUUGUAAUCUGCAAAUGCCAUCAUAUGGAUAUCUAUAGAAACGAAAGGAAUAGAAGGCAACCAGGCAGUCUCCAUAUACUUCCGAAACAGCGUUAGCAAACAGAAGACACCACCCCACACUCUGCUCCACCUCCAUCAGUCUGUUCCUGUCUCUGCCUCCCAGAUCGGUGAACUGGGGACCCACCAGGCCAAACCUCAGUGGCAGUGGCAUGCUGCCAGCAGGCAGCUCCUAAAGGCGGGAGACAAAACCAGCACUCCUCAGCUGAAUUUUUCAGACCAUCUUCACUAUGGAAUUAAAC